UCUGGAUGGUGCAGCGUUCUCCAUUCAGCAAGAUGGAACAGUCAGUGAACAAAUCUGCGCAAUACUGUUGCAUGGUGGAAAUCAUACAGGUACCAUGGGUGUUAAGAAGUUUUGAUAUUUUUUCCAUGGGUGUUAUAAAUUCCAGAUGUAAAGAUAAUUAAAUGAAAUAAAGCUUCUCUGACAAUUUUUAUUUACACAAUAUGUCGAACGCCUGUGAUGUAUUUUGUUUUAUAUUUCUAGGACAAUAAAGUUUAAUUUCAGUGAAGAUAAAA
rnacentral:lncRNA from 1 species